rnacentral:rRNA from 1 species
UACGGAGGGUGCGAGCGUUGUUCGGAAUCACUGGGCGUAAAGCGCGUGUAGGCGGCCUGCUAAGUCUGAUGUGAAAGCCCGAGGCUCACCCUCGGAAGGGCAUUGGAAACUGGCAGACUGGAGUCCCGGAGAGGAGGGUGGAAUUCCUGGUGUAGCGGUGAAAUGCGUAGAUAUCAGGAGGAACACCGGUGGCGAAGGCGGCCCUCUGGACGGUGACUGACGCUGAGACGCGAAAGCGUGGGGAGCAAACAGG